UACGUAGGGUGCGAGCGUUAAUCGGAAUUACUGGGCGUAAAGCGUGCGCAGGCGGUUUUGUAAGCCAGAUGUGAAAGCCCCGGGCUUAACCUGGGAAUGGCAUUUGGGACUGCAAGGCUUGAGUGCGGCAGAGGAGACUGGAAUUCCUGGUGUAGCAGUGAAAUGCGUAGAUAUCAGGAGGAACACCGGUGGCGAAGGCGGCUUUCUGGACGACAACUGACGCUGAGACGCGAAAGCGUGGGGAGCAAACAGG
rnacentral:rRNA from 1 species